GUCUUUUUGAAUUAAAUUUAAAGUCUAACCUGCCCACUGAAAUUUUAAAUGGCCGCAGUAUUUUGACUGUGCAAAGGUAGCAUAAUCAUUAGUCUCUUAAUUGGAGGCUGGAAUGAAUGGUUGGACGAAAUAUUAACUGUUUCAUUUGAAUUUUUUAUAGAAUUUUAUUUUUUAGUCAAAAAGCUAAAAUUUAUUUAAAAGACGAGAAGACCCUAUAAAUCUUUAUAUUUUUUUUAUUUUAAUUAUUAAGAUUAAUUUUAUUUUAAUAAUAAAAAAUAUUUUAUUGGGGUGAUAUUAAAAUUUAAAAAACUUUUAAUUUUUAAAAACAUUAAUUUAUGAAUAAUUGAUCCAUUAUUAAUGAUUAAAAAAUUAAGUUACUUUAGGGAUAACAGCGUAAUUUUUUUGGAGAGUUCAUAUCGAUAAAAAAGAUUGCGACCUCGAUGUUGGAUUAAGAUAUAAUUUUGGGUGUAGCCGUUCAAAUUUUAAGUCUGUUCGACUUUUAAAUUCUU
rnacentral:rRNA from 1 species